rnacentral:rRNA from 1 species
UACAGAGGGGGCAAGCGUUGUCCGGAAUCAUUGGGCGUAAAGCGCGCGUAGGCGGCCCUGUAAGUCCGUUGUGAAAGUCGAAGGCUCAACCUUCGAAAGCCGAUGGAUACUGCAGGGCUAGAGUCCGGAAGAGGCGAGUGGAAUUCCUGGUGUAGCGGUGGAAUGCGCAGAUAUCAGGAGGAACACCAAUAGCGAAGGCAGCUCGCUGGGACGGUACUGACGCUAAGGCGCGAAGGCCAGGGGAGCAAACGGG